UGAGAGACGAGAGAGAGCGCUAGCGAGGAGCGAAUGGUGUGCGUGUGUUGGCGUGGGUUGUGGCCCACAGCAGCCCGGAUGUGAGUGAACAAUUAAAGUUGUCCGCUAUCAAUCAAUUAAAGCGACUGAAGUGCAUCGGCGACAGUCACAGACUGAUGAUGUCACCGGAGUGUCGAGAAGCCGCCUGCCGAUGCCGACGCCGUGCGCCUGCCCCUUUAAAAAAGAUAUACAAGCUGAAGAUUUGGUGGCACCAUGGCAACCGCAUAGGAUAGGAUGCUGCUCAUCAAAAGAACAGUCCAUGUCCAACAUUAAAUGGAUCAUGGCUGAGCUGGAACUCAGUCCCGGCUGACGCUGACAAAGAGGCAAGGCAAGUCACAUUCCUAUUCACACCUAUAGACAAUUAAGCCGGUGAUUCUUAAAUAGCGGGGGGCACGAGGGGCAGUACAUUCAUGCUAAUGUACAAGUUGUUGCCAACUUGGCGACUUUCUUGCUGAAUCCAAACCCUCUUGGAAACUUGGUAAUGGUUUUAUUUCAUUUGAACAUGUAUCAGAUUACAAUUGAGUGCAUCCCAUAAUCAGUUCACAG